GAGGGGAGUGGAACCUCAAACCAGCAUGUUAUCGUGAUAGAGUCUGCAGAUGCAGAGGCUGCAGGUCCUGGAGGAUCGUCUUUGGUCAAGCAGGAAAGGACUGAAGGAGAGCACCGACGACACAGCAGAGACAUCCAGAUUGGAGUGGCACCCCCUCUAGCCACGGAGGACCUCCCCACCGCGCCCCAGCCCAGGGCCCUAUGCAGCUACACGGAGGAGGAUGAGGAUCCAGAGGUUCUGCUGGUGAAGGAGGAGGG